UCUGAAGAUGGAAGAUUCGAGGCAUUUCUUACCAGAAAGGAGGUGGUGGACAUGGGAAGAAAACACUGUUGGAAGGAAAGAGUCAAUUAGGAUGGCUUUUUCCAUCAAAAAGAUAAAUCAUUUUUUCAUAUUUAUUUAUUCUUGUAGCAUUGAAUUGAAAAUUGGUCAGAAAGAGGCAGGCCUCCCAUGGACAAAGCCUGGGACAUCAAGCUAAAGCAGGACUAAGCUCCUCCCCUUGCAUCAAGGCUGGAUGAGACAAGAAAAUGGAAACUCAAGGAGAAGAGGCCAUCUUUUCAAAUGUGAUACCAACGAAGGGAAGGAGAUGGGAUGUGAACUAAGUUAUGUAUUCAUAUUUAUCCCUAGUGCAUGUUUGGCAUUCUUGUUUAUUUAUCAUUCUCUUGAGAACUAAGUUAGUGUGCAGACCUUCCAAGUCAGAUAUGCUCUCGGCACUGAUAAUACCAAGUCCAUGCGCGUGUGAGCCUGUGGGUCAGGGGAAAUUUAUAAUAAUGAUUUGGAACACAAAUUGUGUCUUCAAAUCAACUCUUUAAAUUUAUUUUUUCCCUCUAGGUGGAUAUUUAUUAAUAACAACAAAAUCAUUUGGGGGAUUGUUGUUGCAAUUUUUCUUUAUGCUCAUCUCUCUGUUCUCUUGUUUUCAUAUUUUGGAAAAGAGCUUCUGAAAAACUUUUCAAUAUUACUUUAGACUCCUACACUAUGGAAAAGAAUAGGAGGUUGAUAUUUUACCCAUGAGACUUGCCCUCUGAUGCAAAGAAGAAUUUAUGCAAAUUGGAAAUUGGAUAAUGAUGGUGGGGUGUGGUCCAGAAGGAACAUGAGCCUGUCUAUGGAUAAGGCUCUCAGCUUGGAGGCAAUUUCAGGAUUAUUAUAUUGUCAAAGUGACUGGAAUUUGUGGCCAGAGUAGCCAAGAAAAGGGGACUAUGCAGAUAAGGAGUUCUCAGAAUCUGCACAGGGGACCUCUUGGGCCAUUAGUUAAUAUGCUCAUGAGUUCCGCCAGGUUGGGCAAAAACACUUCUAGAAAAAGAAGUGAUACUGAGAAGUAGCGGGCUACUGGGUCCUUAAAUUAUCACCAUGUGGGAACUAUUGAAAUUCCAGUAGCCAAAGUGUAGAAAAUAUUUAAGUUGAUAUUCUCAUAUACUAGCAGUAUGCCAUUGAAAGUAAAAUCCCAAGCCUUGCAAUACCUGGGGAUAAAUGGAUGGAAAUACGUGUAGGAAAAAACACAUUAAAAGUUAUAAACGCUGACUUAUCUACUUAUAUAAAACAAUUUUAAAAGUAUAAAAUUAAUUGCAAUUAGACAAGUGGUUGCCUAGGGUUCUGAUGCUAUUUGUAUCAAUUGUCAAAAAUCAGAAAGCUGAAUUCAAAAUGGGAGACGCUGAUGUUAUGAAAUUAUACCUAAACAAAACUGAAACUAA